rnacentral:tRNA from 1 species
GCACCAUCGAAAUCUAUCGGAUCGGAUUUCUAAUCCGUAGGUCAGAGGUUCAAGUCCUCUAGGGUGUG